UUUCUCGAUCCCGCUGGCGCAAUACAACCCGUUGGAUGAGUCGAGCCCACUUGUUUUGAAGCUAAGGAAGAGUCCUUCACUUUUGGAUUGAUCCAAAUGCGCCUCUCUCAAUCUCAAAGCAAUGGCUCAGCUGCUUAAGCUGAAAGCUUGAACUCUGGUGUCAAAAAAGGGGAGUAAAGUAAGCCUUAAAUUUCCCAGCUUCGAUUCUUUGAAUCGGCCACUGGGAGGUACCUUUUAUUAAAUUUUAUUCAUUUAUUUUAUUAAAUGCAUUCAUUCUGAGGUCCAGUAUUAUUUUAUUGAGUCGAAGUAUGAACGUGAUUUAGUGGUCAAAUGUUAUUUUCCCUUGCACAGACGUUGGAACAAAGGGUAGUGGAUGCAUACGGCUAGGGCCUAAGACAGGAGGGGCGCAUGGACUAAAUGCUGGUGGCGCAAGGGAAGUGGUGGCCUGGAGCUGUGCAAGGCAACAGUAGGUGGUUGUUGGAGUGAACUGUGAAGGUGAUGAAACGGGGUAGAGGAGAGAGAAGGAAACGUAUAAAAAUUUAAUUUAAUAUUGAAUUUAAAUUUUUAUUUAAUUAAUAAUUCCACAUGUUGUAUACGGAUUGGUUGCGGA
rnacentral:lncRNA from 1 species